rnacentral:lncRNA from 1 species
GUAAAUUCUGAGUUGGGAUUCAGACCUAGAUUUUUUCCCUGGGAUCUAGGACAGAAUUAUUCUGCCUUAAGGAUUCUCUUUAUUUCCAACGGAACAUCCCAGUGCUGGAUGAGGCCGGAGGGUUACAACCGAAGAGGGGCUGCAGGUCUGAGUCUCUGGGACCCACAGUUCCUGUGCAGUCCCAUUCAGUCUCCCCCUUGCCCCCAGUCUAACUGAAAAGAGGGAGCCCAACUGAACACGCAGCUCCUUAUACUUGAGGCCGCUUGGGACCUCCCAGCCUCCUCCUCCCUGUUUGGGACCUCUACAUCCUGGCCACACCUGAAGUCCCACGGUCCUACGGUCCCUCUCCCACACUUUUUUUUUUUUUUUUUUAGAUUUUAGAGUCGCAGGCUCCUCUGAGCCAGCCAGGGGACCCUGCCUUGCGCACUCUUUACCACCUCCUCUGCACCCUAAUCCUGUCUGUGCUUAAACAGAUGUCCACCUCGAAUGAGAAAACCGGAGUUCUAGCGGGGGCCUCGUUGUUCCGAGUCCCAACAAAUAGCUCGGUUUCCGUCUGAGUGUCAGGCUAAGCGGCUCCCAUCACCUGCCGCAUCUCGCAGGGCGCAGGGAACCCACUUUCCAACACCACGAAAGGGGUCUCAGCACGGACGCCGCCAUCUUGACUGCCGCCUCCCAGAGCCUGGGCUCACCCGGGAGGGUGCUCGCGCCUGCGCGGACCGCGGAGGGGCGUGGCGAAGAGCGCGGGGGCGAGGCCUCGGCGGAAGGCGCGGGGGAGGGACGCAAUGUGCCCCUAGUGGCGGGUGUGUGCGCGCCUCAGCUCUGUAGCGUCUGGAUUCCGUUUCCACGGUUACGGCGGCGCGAAGCUGUGUCCCAGGCCCAUGUCGCCUCCCUGGAGGGCCACACCACCAAAGAUAAAGCCGUGCUUCUGGCAGGUUCUCCCCUGCAGGAUGAAACCACCCUGGGUCAGUUUGGAGUAGAAGCCCUGGCGACCCUGGAAGUGGUUGGCCGCAUGGCUAGGAGUGGGAAAACGAAAGAUGGAUCGAGAGCGUCGCAUGUUUCAAGAAAAACGAAACGAGCAUAUUUCUUUGUGGAAAUUAAGAAUAGCGCUAUGUGUUUAAUAUGUAACCAGACUUUUGGGGCGCCUGGGUGGCGCAGUCAUUGAGCGUCUGCCUUCGGCUCAGGGCGUGAUCCCGGCGUUAUGGGAUCGAGCCCCACAUCGGGCUCCUCCGCUGGGAGCCUGCUUCUUCCUCUCCCACUCUCCCUGCUUGUGUUCCCUCUCUCGCUGGCUGUCUCUCUCUGUCAAAUAAAUAAAUAAAAUCUUUUAAAAAAAAAUACGUA